GCCGGGUGCGGUGGCGCGCGCCUGUAAUCCAAGCUACCGGGAGGCUGAGGCUGGAGGAUCGUUUGAGCUCAGGAGCUCUGAGCUGCAGCGGACUAUGUCGAUCGGGUGUCCGCACUAAGUUCGGUAUCGAUAUGGUGCUCCUGGGGGAGCCCGGGACCACCAGGUCGUCUAAGGAGGGGUGCACCGGCCCAGGUCGGAAACGGAGCAGGUCAAAGCCCCCGUGCCGCUCAGUAGUGGGAUCGCGCCUGUGAAUAGACGCUGUAGUGCAGCCUGAGUAAUACAGCGGGACCCAGUCUUUU
ensembl:misc_RNA Metazoa_SRP Metazoan signal recognition particle RNA